rnacentral:rRNA from 1 species
AACGUAGGUUCCGAGCGUUAUCCGGAUUUACUGGGCGUAAAGCGCGUUCAGGCGGUUUGGCAAGUCGGGCAUGAAAUCUCUCGGCUCAACCGGGAGAGGUUGUCCGAUACUGCUGGACUUGAGGGCAGUAGAGGGUGGUGGAAUUCCGGGUGUAGUGGUGAAAUGCGUAGGUAUCCGGAGGAACACCAGUGGCGAAAGCGGCCACCUGGACUGUACCUGACGCUGACACGCGAAAGCUAGGGGAGCGAACGGG